rnacentral:lncRNA from 1 species
UGGAUUCAACGACCCUCGUCGAGCUCGCCUUCUCUUCUUUCGGACGUAUACAGUGCCCUGCGCGCACUCACUUUCUUCUUCACUCAAAAACACAGACGCGAACACGGGGAGAGAAUAUAUUUUUUAUUACUGAAAUUCGCCCUCAGACUCAACAAUGAAGAAGAGAGAGCUAUCCAGUACUUUAAAGAACUUGAAGGUAUUUAAAUAUCAGUUUGUUAAUUCUUUUUCUUGUUUAAAAUUUGAAAUCUUAUUCAAUUUAACUGGGUUUUUAUUUAAUUAAUCUGGGUAUUUUUUUAUUCAUAUAAUUAAUAUGGGUUUAAAAUGUAGAUAUUAUUUCGGGACGCUAUGAGCUCAAUAUUAUUACACUUGAUUUCAACUGCUUUUCCUUUUUCAUUUAUGUUUUUUGCAGUUUAUGCAAAGGGCAGCGCAGAAAGAGGAGAAAGGUAAGAAGGAAGAAGAGGUCACAUCUGCUGCAGAUUUCCCUUCAUCUGGUAUCCCUAAAAAAUGGUAUUUUCUUUUUAUAUUUCUAUUCUUCUUCUUUUUUUUUG